AAGUCGUAACAAGGUUUCCGUAGGUGAACCUGCGGAAGGAUCAUUAACACGUAUCCAAACGUUAAACCCCCCUGUGAACCUUCAGUCGUACUCGUACGUCCGUUAGAAAAAGCAGCAAUCCCUGGUAAAUCAUCGCCGAACAGUUUUCGAUUCAGGGACGUCUGCAAGGAGCGUGCAUGUUGUGCGUGUAAGUGGCCUGGCAUCCCCAAGCAGUUAGUGUCUGAAAGUGUCACUAACGUUAGUGUCUGAAAGUGUCACUAACAUGUGUAAGGAUGACUGCUCUAUCUAUGGUGAUCCUGCGGGAAGUCCUGCGGUCGAACGCCGAAACCGAACAACUGUUAACAAUGGAUAUCUUGGUUCUC
rnacentral:misc_RNA from 1 species